rnacentral:rRNA from 1 species
GACGAACGCUGGCGGCGUGCUUAACACAUGCAAGUCGAACGGAAAGGCCCUGCUUUUGUGGGGUGCUCGAGUGGCGAACGGGUGAGUAACACGUGAGUAACCUGCCCUUGACUUUGGGAUAACUUCAGGAAACUGGGGCUAAUACCGGAUAGGAGCUCCUGCUGCACGGUGGGGGUUGGAAAGUUUCGGCGGUUGGGGAUGGACUCGCGGCUUAUCAGCUUGUUGGUGGGGUAGUGGCUUACCAAGGGUUUGACGGGUAGCCGGCCUGAGAGGGUGACCGGGCACAUUGGGACUGAGAUACGGCCCAGACUCCUACGGGAGGCAGCAGUGGGGAAUAUUGCACAAUGGGCGGAAGCCUGAUGCAGCAACGCCGCGUGCGGGAUGACGGCCUUCGGGUUGUAAACCGCUUUCGCCUGUGACGAAGCGUGAGUGACGGUAAUGGGUAAAGAAGCACCGGCUAACUACGUG